rnacentral:rRNA from 1 species
UUUUAUGAGAGUUUGAUCCUGGCUCAGGACGAACGCUUGCGGCGUGCCUAAUACAUGCAAGUCGAACGCUUCUUUUUCCACCGGAGCUUGCUCCAUCGGAAAAAGAGGAGUGGCGAACGGGUGAGUAACACGUGGGUAACCUGCCCAUCAGAAGGGGAUAACACUUGGAAACAGGUGCUAAUACCGUAUAACAAUCGAAACCGCAUGGUUUU